rnacentral:rRNA from 1 species
GAUGAACGGCUGGGCGGCGUGCCUAAUACAUGCAAGUCGAACGGAAGGUAGCAAUACCUUUAGUGGCGAACGGGUGAGUAACGCGUUGGUGACCUGCCCCGAAGCGUGGGAUAACAGUCCGAAAGGAUUGCUAAUACCGCAUGUGGUCCAAGAGACUAGAGGCUUAUGGACUAAAGGAGACAUUCACUUCGGGAGGGGCCUGCGUCCCAUCAGCUAGUUGGUAGGGUAACGGCCUACCAAGGCGAUGACGGGUAGGGGACCUGAGAGGGUGGCCCCCCACAAUGGAACUGAAACACGGUCCAUACACCUACGGGUGGCAGCAGUAGGGAAUAUUGCAAAAUGGGCGCAAGCCCGAUGCAGCAACGCCGCGUGGGCGAUGAAGGCCUUCGGGUCGUAAAGCCCUUUUUGAGGGGAUGAGGAAGGACAGUACCUUCAGAAUAAGCCUCGGCUAACUACGUGCCAGCAGCCGCGGUAAUCAGUCUACG